ensembl:lncRNA
CUACCUACUAUUUCUUCACUUGAAUUGUUUCAUUCUCUCUAUGGAAAAAAAUAAUGUUUUAGGAGUGAUGAGCUUUAUAUAGUGAUGGAAAGUGUUUUUUCAUUUGUUUCCUCCCUCAGAUCUUAUUUAGUGCAGAAUUAUAAAUUAUAUAGAGGCACGAUGCUGAGAAUGGGGAAGGUGACACUUCUAAUCUUAACUUCCGUAUGUCAUAAAUCACUGAUUUAUAAAACAGUGAUGAGAUCAUUAAUUUUCCUUGAAGGGGUAUUCUAGAAAUUAAAUAAUAUUCUGGAAAUAUUCGAGUACAGUAGAGAAGAGUUCCAUAAUCCGUCAUGCACAGUACAUGGAUCAGGAGUCCAAAUGAGAAGCGUACUUUAUGAUCUUGUAAUUAAAACUCUAUUGUAAUACAUAAGCAUACAAAAACAAUUUAGCACUACAUGACCAAUGUUGGCUUUGACUUAUUCUUUCUUUUAGCUAUAUCUUACGUCUAUCCUCUUCAUCUUAACUUUAUAUUUCACUAUGUUGUGUGUUACGUGCUUACAAGAUUGUGUAUAUAUUUAUAUCCUGUGUACACAUGGGAUUUAUUUGGCCUAAUAUCAGUCAUCUAGACUUGCUCCAAUCAGAAGAUGUUUUAUUCUACAGUAGGUGCCUUUGAGAAUCAGGAUGCCUCUCUCUUCACACUGACUACUGUGAGGUCCAGUAUUGGUAGCUGUUUCAUCAUGGGGAAUAUUUUUAAGAACUGAGCAUUAUGCAUCACAGCUUAAAAAAUAUGGUGAUAUUUCACAUUACCAGCAACAUCCAAUUUACUUUAUUAAUGGUAGGUGCAAAAUACACAGCUGCCUAGGUUAACAGGUCAGGCAAGGGGAGACCAAACUAAUCAAAAAACUAAAUUUUCAGCCUGUAAUUUCUCUACAAAUAAUAACUGCAAAAGUAAAAUCCAACUUUGAUCUCAAAACUUCUGCUUUGUUUUAGAUUAAUACCUUAUCUUAUACAAAUCCUUGGAUUCCACAUGUAUUGUUCUGGAUUGGAGUGCACAAAGCUUCCACAGUACAAAAGACCAAGACCUAAUUGCCUGUACAACUCUAUUGAGUGACCUCAAGGAACGACACAGAUCAAUCCACUUCCUAGAGAGAAACUGCCACCGUGGAGAGAGUAUAUCCACACUCUGGAGCUACUGCUGGCUGUUACUAACCCCUGUGAGAGCUCUGGAAGUGAUCAGAGGAGCUGUGCAAGAGCUGUCCUAAGAUAUUUCACGUGCUGAAUAUGAAGAUCAGUCUCCAGUAUCACAGGGUGCACCACUGACUCACACCAGCGCGUGGCUUACUCGUUUCAAAGGAGCAGAAGUACAGAAAGAAAGGGUUCAACUAAGUUAUGCACACACUUUUUCCCCCUUCUCAUAGAAUUUUCUCUGCACUCACUUUCCAAUGUCCCCGUUGUCUUCUCUAGCUCCACUUCCAACAGUCUCAGGUGCACUUCUGUGCAGUUUCACAGUGUUGUGCUUUUCUUUAAAUCAGUGGUAGGUUGGAGAGCCUGCGAUAGAAGUAGAUGGUAUCUAGUGGGCAUCCUGUUUAGUAACAGGAUAUUCCUGCUCUGGACAUCCAGAUAUGGUUCUGGAGUAGACAUUUUCAGCACAAGAUUGAUCCCACAUCUGUUCCUUCUUGUCUUAUCUAAUGCCCAAGGUGUUUUCCAAGAUAAAAGCAUCAUUAUCAAAGAGUGCUUCCCAGAGUAAGAGGAAGCCUAUUUAUGUUUCUUAUUACCUUGUAAACGAAGGUUACGUGAGGUGAGAUCCUUGCAGAAUCAGAGUGGGAAAGCUGAUAAGGGCACAUUGUGGAUGUCCAUGGCCAGCAGGCACGAGAGGCAGUGUGGGCCCCCCACCCUGAUACACAGGAUGCUGUGCCUUGAAUCAUCCCAGGCUGUUUCCAACACACUCUCCCAAACCAGACUAAAGAGUUCCUGUUCCAGAAGUGAAAGAGGUC